UACGGAGGGUGCGAGCGUUGUCCGGAAUCACUGGGCGUAAAGGGCGCGUAGGCGGCCCGCGCAAGCGUGCGGUGAAAGCCCGGGGCUCAACCCCGGGUCGGCCGUGCGGACUGCGGGGCUCGAGCACUGUAGGGGCAGAUGGAAUUCCUGGUGUAGCGGUGGAAUGCGUAGAGAUCCGGAAGAACACCGGUGGCGAAGGCGGUCUGCUGGGCAGUAGCUGACGCUGAGGCGCGACAGCGUGGGGAGCAAACAGG
rnacentral:rRNA from 1 species